UACGUAGGGGGCUAGCGUUGUCCGGAAUCAUUGGGCGUAAAGCGCGUGUAGGCGGCCCGAUAAGUCCGCUGUGAAAGUCCAGGGCUCAACCCUGGGAUGCCGGUGGAUACUGUCGGGCUCGAGUCCGGAAGAGGCGAGUGGAAUUCCUGGUGUAGCGGUGAAAUGCGCAGAUAUCGGGAGGAACACCUAUGGCGAAGGCAGCUCGCUGGGACGUUACUGACGCUGAGACGCGAAAGCGUGGGGAGCAAACAGG
rnacentral:rRNA from 1 species